AUACGGAGGAUGCGAGCGUUACUCGGAGUCACUGGGCGUAAAGCGUCCGUAGGCGGUCGGGUAAGUCGGGUGUGAAAGCCCCGGGCUCAACCUGGGAAGUGCACCCGAUACUGCUCGACUCGAGUGCGGGAGAGGAUGGCGGAAUUCCCGGUGUAGCGGUGAAAUGCGUAGAGAUCGGGAGGAACACCAGUGGCGAAGGCGGCCAUCUGGCCCGCAACUGACGCUGAGGGACGAAAGCGUGGGGAGCAAACAGGAUUAGAUACCCUAGUAGUCC
rnacentral:rRNA from 1 species